rnacentral:rRNA from 1 species
AGUUAGGCAAUCUGCCUGUUGGAUGGCAGUUUAAGCGUUUAGGCGUGCUCUUUAGGCAAAUCCGGAGAGCUAAGCUGAGGCGUGAUGACGAGUCUCUUUGAGACGAAGUUGCUGAUACUCGGCUUCCAAGAAAAACCUCUAAGCUUCAGGUUACAAAGAGCCGUACCCCAAACCGACACAGGUGGGCGAGGAGAGUAUCCUCAGGCGUUUGAGACAACUCGGGUGAAGGAACUCGGCAAAUUAGUACCGUAACUUC